AUUGUGUCCCACAGGUUCUGGUAUGUUUUACUGGAAAUAUAUACAUAUAUAUACGUAUAUAUACAUAUAUAUAUGUAUAUAUACGUAUAUAUAUGUAUAUAUUUCCAGUAAAACAUACCAGAACCUGUGGGACACAAU
rfam:Heterocephalus glaber contig64309, whole genome shotgun sequence.